rnacentral:tRNA from 6 species
GGAGAGGUGGCCGAGUGGUUUAAGGCGCUCCUUUGCUAAAGGAGUAUAGUUAUACUAUCGUGGGUUCGAAUCCCUCUCUCUCCA